UCCUAGUGUUCACAUUGUGCAAAUCGC
rnacentral:piRNA from 1 species